AGUGUGAUUGGAGUAGCAGAAGAGACUAGAAGAUGGGGAUGAAGAAGGAAUCGGGUGAGAGCAAAGGAAGGCCGUGAAGCCAUUGUCAGAAAUUUGUCCUUUAUCCUGACUGAGCAGAAGAAACACUGAAGGAUUUUGAGCAGAGGCAUGUCUUGAUUUCAUUUCAUUUUUAGAGGUAUAGAUAAUUCAGGCUGCUAUUUUGAGACUCGACUGAGAAGAGGUGUGUACUGGUAAGUGUAAAAGUGGAGAGACCACUAAAUUACCUCAAUACUUCCGGUUAACAGAUAUUAGGGACUUGGUCUAGAAACAGUGAGAAUCGGAUUUGUUUAUUUGUUUUUUCCACUCUGGUUGCUUUUAAUGUUAAUUUAGUGAGUUUAGGAAAUUAACAGUGGCUAGCUUAGUUUAUAAAGCCUUUCUUAAGCCAAUGUUUUCCCAAGAAUCGAUUUCUUAUUAAAGAAUACACUAUAGUAAUAUAUUUUCCUGUUCACUUUCUGGUUUUUGUCUUAAGGCUCCUGGACACACCGCCAAACUGUAGGGCUGGCUGGUAUAGAAAGCAAAUGCCCAUGUGGCAUCAUUUUGGCUCCCUUAGAGAAACUCUCUGACUUGGGCUGAAAUUCCCAAAACAAGGAAGUUAUUACUCUGGAGUAAGGUCUUGAGAAUGUAUAACUUUGUACAUGUACAUGAUCUAAUAAUUUAUAUUUGAAUCACUAGAAACACAUUAGUUCAAAUUAUGUAAUGCCCAGAGGGCAUUACAGAUGAGGUUUAGGAAGAAAGGGGGAGAAAAGAAAAAUUUCCAAAGGAGGACUUCUAUGCAGUAAGAAUAUGGCUGGUGCAAAUAAAAGAGGCCCAACAGGCAUUUUGAAAUUUUCAAUAUUCAGGCUAAUGAGAAAGCGGUCCCCUCAUUUGGGAGAGCAAAGAGAAAGAGAAACCACCAGGAAAAUCUUACAUCUUCCAAAAUAUCAUCUAGAAAAGGGCUAUCACACACAAAUAAACCAAUGUUACUUGCCAGGAUCUCAGAAUUUGCUGAAACAAAUCCCUUCAAAAAUUCAACCAGUAUUGAAAAAGAAAUAUUAUAUCCUCUGCCCUUCUUUAGUACUCUCCCUCCCAUUUUACAGGGAUCCUGUAGAAUUUCAAAUCGGGAGGACUUGAAAACAUUCAGCAUUUACUAGAGGCAGAUUUCAAAAUCAUUCCAGCCAAAGUGGAACUUGUGAGAAACUAGAGGAUUGAGGACCAGGCAAGAGAGCCCUAAUGAAGAUGGAAUGUGUGGUGGAAAGUCUUGCAGUCAUGUAGUCUCCAAAUAAUAUUUGCAAAGCUAAGUUUCUAUUUGUGAACCCACAUUUAAUUAUAGCUGAGAAUACGUAUGCCUCGGCCUUCUUACCCUAAAAGAAACAUAUCUAAAAUUAUUCUUAGUUUUUUGAAUGUCUCGCAACAAAAAUUGUCUUUGUGAUCAAUCCUUACUUCUUAUGGUGCUUUCCACGGUCUCAGAACAGACAUACCUGCCUACACUCUCCCUGCCAGAUUGAAAUACUAACUCAGUCAGUCAAUAUUUGCUGUACAGAGAGGCAGUGUAAUGUGAUAGAAUGGCAGAAAAUGAGUAAGUGGAGAUACACAGGUGCUUCAGGCACAGGCGCAGGGAUUCAAACUCUGACUUCUGUACAUAAGAACUUUGGGACACUGGACAAGUCCCUCCAUCUUUUUAAGCCUCAGUCUCCUCAUCUCUAAAAUAAAAGAAUAAUGCUUAGCUAACAGGAUGAUUAUAAGCAUCAAAAGGGAUCAUAUCACAAGUACCUGGCACAAUGUUGUUCAGUUAGGAUGCAUGUGACCGCCAGAAACAAAAUUUUCAACAGCAAAUGACUUCAACUCGAGGAAUUUAUUUUUAUCCAAGAACAAUAAAUGCAGAGGCAGGGAUUCUCUGGGUUGGUGCAAGAGCUGGAUGGCAUCAGAGGUGUAGGUCAAUUUCUCUGUGAUUCUCUUGACUGCAGUAGCUCCAGCUGUAACAGCCUUAUAUGACAAUGUCCAAAGCAGAAGUGUGGGCAUUUAUCUUUGAAUGUCUCUUAUCAGGGAGAAUCCUUCCCAGAUGGCCAGUAGUAUCCCUUCUGACACCAAUAGCCUUCACUUGGUUACAAAACUAUGUCUGGGUUGGAGGCAAAACUGGGUAAAUGAAUAUUAAGUAUUUUUCUUCUUUGUGUGGGGAGGGCAAAAGAAAAACUGGGCAGGACGUGGCAGUUGGGUUGAAAGGUAAUGAUGACCACUUCAUGGUGCUUCACUUAGUAAGCACUUAAAAAUGUUAAUUCCUUUCCCAUUU
rnacentral:lncRNA from 1 species